rnacentral:rRNA from 1 species
AAGCAGGGGAUCGCAAGACCUUGCGCUUUUGGAGCGGCCGAUGCCUGAUUAGCUAGUUGGUGGGGUAAAGGCCUACCAAGGCGACGAUCAGUAGUUGGUCUGAGAGGACGACCAGCCACACUGGGACUGAGACACGGCCCAGACUCCUACGGGAGGCAGCAGUGGGGAAUUUUGGACAAUGGGCGCAAGCCUGAUCCAGCCAUGCCGCGUGAGUGAAGAAGGCCUUCGGGUUGUAAAGCUCUUUCAGCCGGGAAGAAAAGGUUGCGACUAAUAAUCGCAAUUCAUGACGGUACCGAAAGAAGAAGCACCGGCUAACUACGUGCCAGCAGCCGCGGUAAUACGUAGGGUGCGAGCGUUAAUCGGAAUUACUGGGCGUAAAGGGUGCGCAGGCGGUUUUGUAAGUCAGAUGUGAAAUCCCCGGGCUUAACCUGGGAAUUGCGUUUGAAACUACAAAGCUAGAGU